rnacentral:rRNA from 1 species
AAAAACAUGUCCUAUAGAUUUAAUUUUAGGUCUAAUCUGCUCAGUGAUUAAUUUUAAAUAGCCGCAGUAUUUUGACUGUGCAAAGGUAGCAUAAUCAUUUGUCUUUUAAUUGAAGGCUUGUAUGAAUGAUUGGACGAGAAAUAAACUUUCUUUAUUUAAAUUAUUUGAAUUUAAUUUUUAAGUCAAAAAGCUUAAAUUUUUUUGUAAGACGAGAAGACCCUAUAGAAUUUUAUUUUUAUUUUAAUAUAUCUUUUUAUUUUUAAUUUGAAAUAAAAAAAUAAAAAUUUGGUUGGGGUGAUUAUGAAAUUUCAGUAACUUUUAUUUAUAUAUUUCAUUGAUUAAUGUUUAUUUUGAUCCUAUUUUAUGGAUUAUAAGAUUAAAUUACCUUAGGGAUAACAGCGUAAUUUCUUUGGAGAGUUCUUAUUGAUAAAGGAGUUUGCGACCUCGAUGUUGGAUUAAAAUUAGAUUUUGGUGUAGGUGCUGAUUUUCUAGGUCUGUUCGACCUUUAAAUUUUUACAUGAUCUGAGUUC